rnacentral:sRNA from 1 species
GGGUUGGUUUGGGUUGUGGCUUCUGUGACUCCUGACCCUGCGUGGGGCAGAGGUUAGAUUGCUGUGUCCAGAAUCACCUGGUUGAACCCGAUUGUCUGCAGACAGGACAGUGUCAUGGGCUCCAAAGGAGUCGGAACACACAGAUGGGCACACCUCUGUCCAGAGUGUUAUUGAGAAGUUGCAGGAAGAAAAUCGACUGUUAAAACAGAAGGUGACUCACGUUGAAGACCUCAAUGCCAAGUGGCAGCGCUACGAUGCCAGCAGGGACGAAUACGUGAGGGGGCUCCAUGCGCAGCUCAGGGGGCUGCAGAUCCCCCACGAGCCCGAGCUGAUGAGGAAGGAGAUCUCCCGGCUCAACAGACAGUUGGAAGAGAAAAUAAAUGACUGUGCCGAAGUGAAGCAGGAGCUGGCGGCCUCCAGGACGGCCCGGGAUGCUGCGCUGGAGCGGGUGCAGAUGCUGGAACAGCAGAUUCUCGCUUACAAGGAUGACUUCAUGUCAGAAAGGGCCGAUCGGGAACGGGCUCAAAGUAGGAUUCAAGAACUGGAGGAAAAGGUCGCUUCUUUGCUGCACCAGGUGUCCUGGAGACAGGAUUCUCGAGAGCCAGACGCCGGCCGGAUUCACGCUGGGAGCAAAACUGCCAAGUAUUUGGCCACCGACGCAUUAGAGCUUAUGGUGCCUGGUGGCUGGAGGCCUGGGACUGGGUCCCAGCAGCCGGAACCCCCUGCAGAGGGCGGGCAUCCUGGCGCGGCCCAGAGAGGCCAGGGGGACCUUCAGUGCCCUCACUGCCUGCAGUGCUUCAGUGACGAGCAAGGGGAAGAGCUCCUCAGGCAUGUGGCUGAGUGCUGCCAGUGACCGAGACUGACCCGUGCCCUUGCGGCCUCCUGGCCCGGCGCAGCUGCCCUCAGGGACAGGGUGGGUGCUCUCAGAUGCCAUGGGUUGAGCUCUACUGAGAGCCAAGGCUCCUAGAAUAGGUGAGGGG